rnacentral:rRNA from 1 species
UACCAGCUGGCUGCAACUGUUUAUUAAAAACACAGCACUGUGCAAACACGAAAGUGGACGUAUACGGUGUGACGCCUGCCCGGUGCCGGAAGGUUAAUUGAUGGGGUCAGCGCAAGCGAAGCUCCUGAUCGAAGCCCCGGUAAACGGCGGCCGUAACUAUAACGGUCCUAAGGUAGCGAAAUUCCUUGUCGGGUAAGUUCCGACCUGCACGAAUGGCGUAAUGAUGGCCAGGCUGUCUCCACCCGAGACUCAGUGAAAUUGAACUCGCUGUGAAGAUGCAGUGUACCCGCGGCAAGACGGAAAGACCCCGUGAACCUUUACUAUAGCUUGACACUGAACAUUGAGCCUUGAUGUGUAGGAUAGGUGGGAGGCUUUGAAGUGUGGACGCCAGUCUGCAUGGAGCCGACCUUGAAAUACCACCCUUUAAUGUUUGAUGUUCUAACGUGGACCCGUUACCCGGGUUGCGGACAGUGUCUGGUGGGUAGUUUGACUGGGGCGGUCUCCUCCUAAAGAGUAACGGAGGAGCACGAAGGUUGGCUAAUCCUGGUCGGACAUCAGGAGGUUAGUGCAAUGGCAUAAGCCAGCUUGACUGCGAGCGUGACGGCGCGAGCAGGUGCGAAAGCAGGUCAUAGUGAUCCGGUGGUUCUGAAUGGAAGGGCCAUCGCUCAACGGAUAAAAGGUACUCCGGGGAUAACAGGCUGAUACCGCCCAAGAGUUCAUAUCGACGGCGGUGUUUGGCACCUCGAUGUCGGCUCAUCACAUCCUGGGGCUGAAGUAGGUCCCAAGGGUAUGGCUGUUCGCCAUUUAAAGUGGUACGCGAGCUGGGUUUAGAACGUCGUGAGACAGUUCGGUCCCUAUCUGCCGUGGGCGCUGGAGAACUGAGGGGGGCUGCUCCUAGUACGAGAGGACCGGAGUGGACGCAUCACUGGUGUUCGGGUUGUCAUGCCAAUGGCACUGCCCGGUAGCUAAAUGCGGAAGAGAUAAGUGCUGAAAGCAUCUAAGCACGAAACUUGCCCCGAGAUGAGUUCUCCCUGAGACUUUAGGUCUCCUGAAGGAACGUUGAAGACGACGACGUUGAUAGGCCGGGUGUGUAAGCGCAGCGAUGCGUUGAGCUAACCGGUACUAAUGAACCGUGAGGCUUAACCUUACAACGCCGAAG